AUUGAACGCUGGCGGCAGGCUUAACACAUGCAAGUCGAGCGAGCGGCGGACGGGUGAGUAAUGUCUGGGAAACUGCCUGAUGGAGGGGGAUAACUACUGGAAACGGUAGCAAAUACCGCAUACCAUCAGAUGUGCCUAGAUGGGAUGAGCUAGUAGGUGGGGAAAUGGCUCACCUAGGCGACGAUCCCUACCUGGUCUGAGAGGAUGACCAGCAACCAGGGAACUGAUACACGGCCCACACUCCUACGGGAGGCAGCAGUGGGGAAGAUUGCACAACAGUCGCAAGAAGGAUGAAGCCAUGCUGCGUGUUGGAAGAAGACCGUAGGGGGGUAGAAGACCUUCAUCGGGGAGGCGUUAUUAACCGCAGAAGCAGCGGCUAACUCCGGGGCAGCAGCCGCGGUAAUAC
rnacentral:rRNA from 1 species